GGAUAGCUCAGUUGGUAGAGCGUGAGACUCUUAAUUUCAGGCUCGUGGGUUUGAGCUUCAUGUUGGGCA